rnacentral:rRNA from 1 species
AGAGUUUGAUCCUGGCUCAGGACGAACGCUGGCGGCGCGCUUAACACAUGCAAGUCGAGCGAGAACCAUGCCUUCGGGCAUGGGGACAGCGGCGAACGGGUGAGUAACACGUGGGUAAUCUGCCCUUGACAUCGGGAUAGCCCGGGGAAACCCGGAUUAAUGCCGAAUAGCCUCCGAAGCCCUCGGGCGUCGGAGAAAAGGUAGCUUCGGCCUCUGGUCAAGGAUGAGCCCGCGGCGGAUUAGCUUGUUGGCGGGGUAACGGCCCACCAAGGCGACGAUCCGUAGCUGGUCUGAGAGGACGAUCAGCCACACUGGGACUGAGACACGGCCCAGACUCCUACGGGAGGCAGCAGUGGGGAAUCUUGCGCAAAUGCGGGAAACCGUGACGCAGCGACGCCGCGUGGGGGAAGAAGGCCUUCGGGUUGUAAACCUCUUUCAGGAGGGACGAAGCUACUCGGGUUAAUAGCCCAGAGGGUGACGGUACCUCCAGAAGAAGCCCCGGCUAACUACGUGCCAGCAGCCGCGGUAAUAC